rnacentral:rRNA from 1 species
GACGAACGCUGGCGGCGUGCUUAACACAUGCAAGUCGAACGGAAAGGCCCUGCUUUUGUGGGGUGCUCGAGUGGCGAACGGGUGAGUAACACGUGAGUAACCUGCCCUUGACUUUGGGAUAACUUCAGGAAACUGGGGCUACUACCGGAUAGGAGCUCCUGCUGCAUGGUGGGGGUUGGAAAGUUUCGGCGGUUGGGGAUGGACUCGCGGCUUAUCAGCUUGUUGGUGGGGUAGUGGCUUACCAAGGCUUUGACGGGUAGCCGGCCUGAGAGGGUGACCGGCCACAUUGGGACUGAGAUACGGCCCAGACUCCUACGGGAGGCAGCAGUGGGGAAUAUUGCAAAAUGGGCGGAAGCCUGAUGCAGCAACGCCGCGUGGGGGAUGACGGCCUUCGGGUUGUAAACCGCUUUCGCCUGUGACGAAGCGUGAGUGACGGUAAUGGGUAAAGAAGCACCGGCUAACUACGUG